GUGAUAGUCUGCGUCCUACCAGAGGACCUACAUCAGGUACGUGCUAUUGUGAGAAACAGCACUGAUGAAGAAUAUGACAUUGUGACAUUACCCAGAGGAAAUGGUGAACCUUUACCAGAAACCAGCCUGGACAGUGAGUCUGAGAUGGAAGACUGGGAUACACAGAUGGAUGGAGCAGAAGAACGAUGGCCUAAAAGAGCUGCAUUCAAAAUGUCAAGCAUGUAUGCUGUUGUAACCUUGCGAGAUUCAGAUGAGGUGAUGGUGGCAGCAUCAAACUGGCUGAACACAGACAAGACACAAUGUCACUGGCCCCCAUUCAGAUCAGCAGAGAAGUACAUGCAAGCUGUGAAAGACAGAACUGAGCCUUCAACAGCAGGAAAACCAUGGGACAUGUUAAACAUUCUCUUACAUGCAGAAUACGACACCUAUCAGGAGGCUACAACGAAAAAAGAGGAACUUGUAAGAGCACAGAAAGAUGGUUUGUAUGCAGUCAUUACCCUGCAAGAAUCAAGUGAGCUGACUGUGAUACCAACAAACUGGCUGAAUGAACACAAGACACAAUGUUACUGGCCUCCAUUCAAGGCACCUAAGACAUGCACAGAAGCUGUAAAGAACAGACUUGAACCUGCUAGAGGAGAAAAUCCAUGGGAGAUGCUGAACAUCAUAUUUCAUGAACAACAUGCCACUUUUGAACAGGCUAAAGAGAGGGAAGAAGCACUCAGACAGCAGACUGAACCACCCUCUACAUCUUUUGGAUGUCUUGAAAGACAAAACUCUCCACUGCGGUCAGGAAUAUCCACUGGUGGCUUUUCCUCCCAAACCACAGUCAUUAGUCAUGGUAUUAAAAGAAAACGUGAAGAGUCUCCAGAUAUCACUGCACGGCCACUGAUGACUACAGAUAUGGAGAUAAGAAACAAAGCAAAGCAGGUCAUUGAAAGAGUUAUGGCCCAAAUUCAGACCACAACAAAUGCAUUAAAACCUGACAUUGUGUAAGUGUUGAAAAUUAUUUUUGGAGAUCUGUAAACACUUCUCUUUUAAGUACUCGUAAAUG
rnacentral:lncRNA from 1 species